UUCCGUAGGGUGUACCUGCGGAGGGAUCAUUACCGAGUUAUACAACUCAUCAACCCUGUGAACAUACCUAAAACGUUGCUUCGGCGGGAACAGACGGCCCUGUAACAACGGGCCGCCCCCGCCAGAGGACCCCUAACUCUGUUUUUAUAAUGUUUUUCUGAGUAAACAAGCAAAUAAAUUAAAACUUUCAACAACGGAUCUCUUGGCUCUGGCAUCGAUGAAGAACGCAGCGAAAUGCGAUAAGUAAUGUGAAUUGCAGAAUUCAGUGAAUCAUCGAAUCUUUGAACGCACAUUGCGCCCGCCAGUAUUCUGGCGGGCAUGCCUGUUCGAGCGUCAUUACAACCCUCAGGCCCCCGGGCCUGGCGUUGGGGAUCGGCGGAAGCCCCCUGUGGGCACACGCCGUCCCUCAAAUACAGUGGCGGUCCCGCCGCAGCUUCCAUUGCGUAGUAGCUAACACCUCGCAACUGGAGAGCGGCGCGGCCAUGCCGUAAAACACCCAACUUCUGAAUGUUGACCUCGAAUCAGGUAGGAAUACCCGCUGAACUUAAGCAUAUCAAUAAGCGGAGGAA
rnacentral:rRNA from 1 species